rnacentral:rRNA from 1 species
AUUGAACGCUGGCGGCAGGCCUAAAACAUGCAAGUCGAGCGAGCGGCGGAAGGGAGAGUGGUAUCUGGGAAACUGCCUGAUGGAGGGGGAUAACGACUGGAAACGGUAGCUAAUACCGCAUACCAUCGGAAGUGCACAGAUUGGAUUAGCGAGUAGGUGGGGUAACGGCUCACCUAGGCGACGAUCCCUCGGUGGUCUGAGAGGAUGACCAGGCACACUGGAUCUGAGACACUUUACAGACUCCUACGGGAGUCAGCAGUGGGGCAUAUUGCACCAUGGGCAGAAGCCUGACGCGGCCAUGCCGCGUGUAUGUAGAAGGCCUUCGGGUUGUAAAGUACUUUCAGCUGGGCGGCGUUACCCGCAGAAGAAGCACCGGCUAACUCCGUGCCAGCAGCCGCGGUAAUUC